ensembl:lncRNA
GCAGGACAAAGUCACUCCUCUACCCCAGGGUGCCAGACCAAGUGAAAGGGCUAGUCUGACAACGCACCCCUGUUCUGGAAAGCCAGGCUUUUCGGAGCCUGGAGAGACAGUGUCUCAGAUUUGACCAGCAUCAGGGCCUGUACUGGCCGGAGCCAGCCUAGAUGAAUGAGAGCAUAGUGCAUCUGGAGCAGGAAGGAGAUAGUCUUUUCCAGAAAGUUCGGCUACACUAAUCAUCCUUUCACGGAAAGGAGGGAACAGCAUCUCCAUAAACCACGCCCAAGGACUCUGGCCCUAGGAGAGCGUUUUUAGCGGGGCGUUUUCAAGGGGACAGCCAGGUGAGCACACGGAUAGCUGGAGACCCUGAAUUUCCUUCCUUGGACUGCUUCCUGGUCCUAAGGCAACCGCCAUACUGGCCCCUGUCACCGGCGAUGCUGAUAAUCCCAGAUUUUUCUGAAUAAGGACAGGACAGGCCUGCUGGAAAUUGAGCAGGAGACUGUGACUCCCUGGCUCGGUCAACAGGUACAGCCUCUUUCUGAGGGCUUGUUCGGUGCCAGCUCCGAAAGUGACCAGAAGUAUCACUGUAGGACGAGACCAACCACUCUGCACCUCCGUAUCCACCUGCUCAGUGAGCAAAAGCAAUUCAUGGAAUGGUUCGGGGGAGAGAAUACACCAGGAGGGCCAGCACAGGGCAGCACCUGCACAAAGAAUUUGGCUGACAUCUAAGUGGAAUCAAGAGGCAGCUGGACUACAGACAGUCUCUCCCUGGCAAGUCUUAGACUUUCAUUCCUCCCGCCUCCAUCUCUCAAGUCCCAGGACAGAAGAUUUGCACAAGUCAACCUUUCAAUACUGAAGUAGCAUUGGCACAGCAAUACCUGUGUCACAGUCAAUUGCGUGUCUUCAAAGAAUCUGGGGGCAAGGAGCAGGUGUAAAAGAACCAGAGUCUCACAUAACCUAAGCUGGACUUGAACUUCUGAUCCUUCUGCCUCCACCUCCUAGCUGCUGAGAUUAUAGGUGUGUACUACCUUGGCAAGACUAUAUUAAUGCUGCCAAGAAUAAAACCCAGGGCCUCGAACAUGCUCCGAAAGCACUCUACAACUGAGCCACAUCCCCAGCUCUCCAUUUUGAUUUUGACAACUGCCACAAAAGUCCUUGAACAGGCCUGGUGGCACUCAUCUGUAAUCCUAACACUAGGUAGGCCACAGCAGGAAAGAUCUCAUGUUUGGGACCUGACUGGGCUACAGAAUGGGUUCAAAGCUAGCCUGGGUAGUGUAAUGAGACCCAUAUUCAAAUUUAAAAACAUGCUUGAACAUGUUAUUGUCAUUUGUGUAAGUUUAAAUGAAGGAGGAAUUCUUAGCAGUGGAACUGCUGGGUCAAAGUGAAUGAGCUUUGAAAAUGUUCAUGCAUGAAACCCUAGGUUUGAUCUUAGCAAUCAAAUGACAUCUUUGACACACAGUGUCAUAUGGUUUUUCUUUGGUUUGUUUUUUGUGUUUUGUUUUCUGAGACAGGAUCUCUCUGUGUAGCCCUGGCUAUCCUGUAGACCAGGCUAGCCUCAAACUCAGAGAUCCUCCUGCCUCUGCCUCCUGAGUGCUGGGAUUAAAGGCGUGCACCAUCAUUGCCUGGCAUUAUAUGCAUUCUUUAAAGCUUUGUGUUUCCAUUUUCAAAGUGUUAGGAAGAUGCACAUAGUAAUUAUCACCAUAAAUGUGUGUGUACUCUUGUGUGUGGGUGCAUACGAAGAGGUAAACACAGAGGGGUGCACAUAGAGGAGAACACACGGAGGUGUGAACAUGGAGGGGUACACGUGGAGGGGUGUACUUAAAGGUUAGAGAUCAAAUUAGGGUGUCACAGGAGCCAUCUAUCUUUUUGUUUUGAUUUUUUUUUUUUGAGUCCCAGGCUGUCCUAGAACUCUCUCUGUAAACCAGGUUGGCCUUAAACUCACAGAAAUCUGCCUGCCUCUGCUUCCCGAGUGCUGGGAUUAUCAACACACAUCACCGUGAUUAGUCCCAUCUUGUCUCUUGCUGGGACCUGGGGCUUGCUGGUGUGACUAGGCUGACUGGCCAGAGACCCCCAGGGGUCCUGGUACACUAAGCCUGUGGGUACUGGGAGCAAGCGGGGGUCCUCAUGCUUUCCCAGAAAGAACACCACUGGUUGAGCUUUCUUUCCAACCCUUAUUCCCUGCCCCUCCCCCUUCUGGCUUCUGUCAGCCUGUAUGGCCCAAGUGAUCUUAUCACCUCACCUUCUCAUAUAGUUGGGGCUGUUAGAGCACACCACUGGCCCCAGUCAUGUCUUAAUCACUUUUUAAAAAGUAAUUUAGUUGGGGGCUGGAGAGAUGGCUCAGUGGUUAAGAGCACUGCUUGUUCUUCCAAAGGUCCGGAGUUCAAUUCCCAGCAACCACAUGGUGGCUCACAGUCAUCUGUAAUGAGAUCUGGUGCCCUCCUCUGGCCUGCAGGCAUACAUGCAGACAGAACACUGUACACAUAAUAAAUAAAUAAAUUUUAAAAAAUAAUUUAAUUAUUUAUAUGUAUUUUGUGUACAUUGCUAUUUUGCUUGCAUGUAUGUCUGUGGGGGUGUCAAAUACCCUGGAACUAGAGUUAGGGACAUUUGUGAGUCACUACCCUGUGGGUCCUGGGAAUUGAACCCAGAUCCUAUGGAAGAGCAGCCAGUGCUCUUAACCUCUGAGCCAUCUCUCCAGCUCCCCCCCAACUUUUAAAAAAUUUAACAAUAUAAUGCAUUUUUUUGUUUGUUUUUCAAAGGCAUGUGCCACCAAUGCCUGUUACCCGCCCCUCACCUGUUUUUAAAAAGUCAGGGUCUC